CUACGGGUCGCAGCAGUGGGGAAUCUUAGACAAUGGGCGCAAGCCUGAUCUAGCCAUGCCGCGUGAGUGAUGAAGGCCUUAGGGUCGUAAAGCUCUUUCGCUGGGGAAGAUAAUGACGGUACCCAGUAAAGAAACCCCGGCUAACUCCGUGCCAGCAGCCGCGGUAAUACGGAGGGGGUUAGCGUUGUUCGGAAUUACUGGGCGUAAAGCGCGCGUAGGCGGAUCAGAAAGUUGGGGGUGAAAUCCCGGGGCUCAACCCCGGAACUGCCUUCAAAACUCCUGGUCUUGAGUUCGAGAGAGGUGAGUGGAAUUCCGAGUGUAGAGGUGAAAUUCGUAGAUAUGCGGAGGAACACCAGUGGCGAAGGCGGCUCACUGGCUCGAUACUGACGCUGAGGUGCGAAAGCGUGGGGAGCAAACAGGAUUAGAUACCCCAGUAGUC
rnacentral:rRNA from 1 species